rnacentral:rRNA from 1 species
AGGAGUGCUCGAAAGAGAGCCGUAACACAGGUGCUGCAUGGCUGUCGUCAGCUCGUGUCGUGAGAUGUUGGGUUAAGUCCCGCAACGAGCGCAACCCUUGCCAUUAGUUGCUACGAAAGGGCACUCUAAUGGGACUGCCGGUGACAAACCGGAGGAAGGUGGGGAUGACGUCAAGUCCUCAUGGCCCUUAUAGGUGGGGCUACACACGUCAUACAAUGGCUGGUACAAAGGGUUGCCAACCCGCGAGGGGGAGCUAAUCCCAUAAAGCCAGUCGUAGUCCGGAUCGCAGUCUGCAACUCGACUGCGUGAAGUCGGAAUCGCUAGUAAUCGUGGAUCAGAAUGUCACGGUGAAUACGUUCCCGGGUCUUGUACACACCG